rnacentral:lncRNA from 1 species
UUCAAUCUUUUCUAUUAAGUUUCGAGGACGAAACUUUUAUAAGGUGGGGAGAUUGUAAUGUUUUGUAUUAAAAGAUAGGAAAUGGCAACAAGGCCCUUGAAUGCUUAGAUGUAGGAAUAAAUUAAAUGAGGGGUAGUGUGGUAAUUGAACAAUAGUUGAUAUAUAUAAAUAGAGAGAAGGAAAAAAAAAACAAAAGAGAGAUCUGAAAAAUUUGAGAGAGAAUCGGCAGGAGAGAAGGGAGAAAGAAGAAGAAGAGAAAAGAGGGGGAAAUAAGGGAAAAAGGAAAGGAGUUGAAGAGAAUAAGUUUAAAGGUAAGAUUUAGGUUGUUAAAUGUAUAAAUGUAUGUUAAUUGAGCUUAAUUUCAGUUUUGAUGAAUGUUAGGGUUUUGAAAAUUUGUGUUUUGGGUUUAAUUGAUGAAUUAAAUUGAAUGUUAUAAGGUUGAUUGUUAUGGGUAAUUGAUUAAUGAGUUGAUUAUGGAAGAUUGUGAUGAUUUUGAGUUAUGAAUUGUGUAAAUGGUGAAUGUUGAGUUAUAAAUUUGGCAAGAACAAUAGGUAAUCUGUUAAAAUUCUGGAUUGGAGGUUGAAGAUGACGAAAAUUCAAUUUGGUCCCUCAAUUUUGGAAAAUUACAGUUUAGUCCCCGAACUUUGGAAAAUUUGCAGAUUGGUCCCUGGGGCAUAUUCCGAGAUUCUGAACAGAAUAACAUAUGAAUUAUGGACAGAAUUACUGUAUAGAUAAGAGAAUUUAACACUUUCAAUUUAGUCCUCCAAUUUGACAAAAUUACAAUUUGACCCUAAAAAUUUGGUAAAAUUCCAGAAUGGUCCUUGGAGUAUAAUGAGAUGAUCUGGACAGAAAUGAGGACUAAUUAUGGUCAGAAUUUCAGUAUAUUCAUGGAUUUAUGAUAAAUUUCAGUUUGGUCCUUCAAUUAGACAAAAAUUGCAAUUUGACCCUUAAAAAUAGGAUAAAUUACAGAUUAGUCCCUAGCUGUAAUACUAGCUUUUGCAGAUUGGUUUGAUGAAUAAUUAAGGGUUAUUUAGUGAACUAUUUCCAAUUUUAUUAGUUGUUUUAUUAUGGAUUAGAUUUCGGGAAAACCGUUAAAUUUUGGGUUUUUGAGAAAAUUGAUUAGUGAGUUCAAAAACAUAUAUGAUUACGGAAUACACCCUUAGUUAAGUGUAUUAAAUAAGUUAAAUGUUCUUUUGAGUCGUUCUUGAAUAUGUCUCCUUUGUAUUCAGAUAAUCCUGAUAUUCUACCGAUAGGACGUCAGUAGGAUUUUCUUCGGUGUCUGCUUUUGGCUUCUGUUUGCUUUUGAGUCAGGUGAGUGGAUAAUUUUCCAUAUGCAUGAGAAAUAGUAUAAAUAUUUGAUUUGUUAAUAUGAAUUGAAUCAUGCUUCUUGAUAAUAUAUAUGUUGAUUAUUAUCCUUGUUUUGAUAAAGCAUGAUCAAUUGUUGAAUCCGAAUUCUUGAUAUGAACCAGUAUAUAUUUUGAAUUGAAUUCUGAAUUGAUAGCUCCUCAUUUGAUUGAUGUCAUGAGUUGAGCCUUGAGAUAUGAAUAUGUCUGUUUGCUUAUGAUUAUGAUUAUGAACCUAUGGUAUGUUAGUCAGAAUACCCAUGCUAACAGGGUAGUGUUAGUCUUUGUGCACAUCGUAUCCGAACCCUAGUUGGUCGGGGGAGUCACCAACCUGUGUGGACUGAUCAUCCCACAGUACGGAGCCUCAUGCUCAUUGCAUUUUGAUUUUCUGACGAGCUUUACCAUAUGAUAUUCUUGUUAUGGCCUAUUUGAGAAACCUUUCUAUACGAACCUAGAGCCAUACUUGUAUAUAUAUUUCUCAUUGCUGUAUUACCUCGUGUGUGUAUAUUGAACGUUAUCUACUCACUGAGUUGUUGAACUCACCCUCUCAUUAUUUAUCCUUUUCAGGCUUAUAGCUUGAUAGCAGGUCACUUUUGUUGGACUUUCCGAACCUGCUCUUUUGGUUGUAAUUUGUACCUUUUCCUUUAUGUCUAGUUAGUGCUCCAAAACUCUGAAUUUAUAUUAGCUCUUGUAUUAAGACAACUAAAUUAUAUUAUGAAGUUGAUUUUGUUGUUAAUGCUGCGUUGAACUCUGAUUGAGUUAGGAUAAGUUUGUGUGUAAGUUUGGGUUCGCAUAGGUAUGGAACCUUGGAGGGGAACCUUGCCUAUGUGCCGGUCAUGGAUCCGGGAUUCGGGUCGUGACACUCCUAUUGAGCAAUUAUCAGUACACCACCGGUCCGCGCAUGGGGAGCCGGAAUCCCCAACAAGAAAUUCUCAUUGUUCAUGUUAAAGACCUCGAAAUUCCAAAAUUAUAGCUAUCUAAAUGCUGAUCCCUUACACUCUUCGAAAUUGACCUUCAUCUUUUGGAUUUUAUGAGUUGGUAAACCUGCUAUUAAUCAGCGGACCGUGAGAAACCAAAAAUCAGAACAUAUUUUCAGACUGGUUUUAUUAAGUACAUACAAUUUAGUUUACAUGACUCAGGUUUAUGGAGUAUCUAGAUGAAGCUUAGACCACCCCUCCAUUGAUGCUUUGUGGACCUGAACUGUGAUGUUUUGAAUUAAAAGAGAUAGGAAAAGGCAACAAAGCUCUUGGAGGCUUAAAGAGUGGGUAUAAGUAAAUGAGGGGUAGUGUGGUAAUUAAAUAAACAUAAUAAGUAUAAAUAGAAAAAAAAAGAGAGAGAUCUGAAAUCAAGAGUGAUGAUGGGAUAAGAGAAGAAAAGGGGAAGAAGAAGAAGAUAAAAGAGGUAAAGAUAAGGGAAAUAGAAGAUAAUUGAAGAAAAUAAGUUUAAAGAUAAGAUUUAGGUUGUUAAAUGUAUAAAUGUGUGUUCUUUGAGUUUUAAAUUUCUGUUUUGAUAAAUGUUAGGGUUUUGAAGAUUGUGUUUUGGGUUGAUUGAUGAAUUAAUUUGAAUGUUAUGGGUUGAUUGUUGUGGGUAAUGAGUUGUUUAGUUGAUUUUGAAAGAUUUUAGGUAAAGAUGAUGAUUUUGAGUUAUGAUUUGUGUAAAUGGUGAAUUUUGAGUUAGAAAUCUUGAGAUAACAGUAGGUUUUCUGUGGAAAUUCUGGGUUUGAGGUUGAAGAUGACAAAAUUUCAGUUUGGACCCUCAAUUUAUAAAACUUACAGUUUAGUCCCUAAACUUUGAAAAAAUUACAAAUUUACCCUAAAAUUUUGGAAAAAAAUCCAGAAUGGUCCCUGGAGCAUAAUUAGAGAUUCUGGACAAAAAUGAGGAUGAAUUAUGGAUAUAAUUCCACUAUAGUCAUGAAUUUAUGAUAUUUUUAGGUUGGUCCUCCAAUUUGACAAAGUUACAAUUUAACCCUUAAAAAUAUGAUAAAUUCCAGAUUGGUCUCUAUCUGUAAUAUUAGCUUUUGCAAAUUGGUUUGAUGAAUAAAUGAGGGUUAUUUAAUGAAUUAUUAUCAAGUCUUAUUAUUUGUUUUAUUAUGAAUUAGAUUUCGAGAAAACCGUUUAAUUUUGGGUUUUUGGGAAAAUAACUAGUUUAGUAUAAAAACAUAUAGGGUUGUGAAAUAUACCCUUAGUUAGGUAUAUUAAAUAGGUUAUAUGUUCUUUCAAGUCGUUCUUGAAUAUGUCUCAUUUGUAUUCAGAUAAUCCUGAUAUUCUACCGGCGGGAUGUUAGUAGGAUUUCCUUCG